rnacentral:rRNA from 1 species
UACGUAGGCAGCAAGCGUUGUUCGGAAUUACUGGGCGUAAAGGGCGCGUAGGCGGUCUUGUAAGUCUCGUGUGAAAUCCCUCGGCUUAACUGAGGAACUGCACGGGAUACUGCAUGACUUGAGAUCGGGAGAGGGAAGCGGAAUUCCGGGUGUAGCGGUGAAAUGCGUAGAUAUCCGGAGGAACACCGGUGGCGAAGGCGGCUUCCUGGACCGACACUGACGCUGAGGCGCGAAAGCUAGGGGAGCAAACGGG